rnacentral:tRNA from 1 species
GUGGCUGUGGCUCAGUGUCACAGCGCUUGCCUAGCAUGUGUGAGGCACUGGGUUUGAUCCUCAGCACCACA